CGUAAUUAUAAUGUAAUAGCACUUCGGUAUAGCGUCCACGGCCCAAGUCCACCUGCCAGACGACGGACGACCGAUGCCGCCGAUUCGCGCGCGCGUUUACAACACCCCACCCGCCCACACAUCAGUUCACGUGUGCGCGCGUACGGCCACCGUUCAGGACGGAGAAGAAAAUGCAUGAAAACAAAUCCGCAAAACGGCGCGCAAGUUUAGUAUCUAUUCGAGUGCAAACGGAUAACACGACCGGCAGAAAACGAGUUGGUGAACCACGCACACACAACGCUUGUAAACGGUCACGACUCUCGGUCCAACGACGGUUGCCGAUUUCGUGCACGGUGGUGGGCGGCCGCCGAAUCGCGCGGAACGGCAACGUCGCAUUGAUUACUCCAAAUCCCGGCGGCGGUCUGGUGCCCGCGUGUAUCAUCGGUCGGCGAGCACGCUGUCGCCGUCGCCGCCAGCAGAAGCAGCAGACAACAACGUGUUGUGUUGCUCAGUAACGUCGAUCAUGCGGCGGUGGCGGUGGCGGUGGCGGUGACUGCGCGGUUACGGUGGAGGUGCGGCGCGACAACGGCCAGAACAUGCGCAACAACAAUAUAACCGAGCCCAUGUGCUUCGCCGCGGUGUACGGCGGCAACCCCUCCGCAGAUCGCGUGGCACGACCGUCACCCCACUCCCGGACCGUAGCUUUGCCGCCGCCGCGCGCCGUCGGCCGACCAGCACUCCCACCGAGUAGUGGCGGCGGCGGUAAUGACGACGACGGCUACAACGAUGUCUCUCUCUAUCCAAACACCUCGGCCGUUCAUUAGCUUUCUAUACCAUAUCUAUUGCUAUUGUUUUCCUUAAUGAAUGGCAUUGUAAAAACGGAGAAAUAAACAUGAAUUCAUAACGAGACGGUCAACACACAUCACGAAAAACCAAAAUAUGAAAUAGGUAUUGAACUUAGCUACAUUUGUGAUUUUCUUUUGAGGGGAGGGGAUAAAUUAUGCUAUUUACUAUACAUUAGUUUCAGUAUUUCACGGCCUUAUCAACGAAAUAUCAAACAACAGUACAUAAUAUUUUCUGAUUAUAUAUCAAUAUAUGGCUAAUUUACAACAGAAGACAAUGAGUAAUGUGAUUGUAAGCUUUGUAAAUUUAAAAUAUACAUAGGUUUGAGGACUUGUGACGAUCGAACGAUAUUAAUAUUUAUUGAAUAUUAAUAUUUAUUUUUAGUGCCGUAUCCAGGGGGUGGGCUUUUGGGCUUAAGCCUCCCCCCCCAAAUCUCAGGAAAGGUAUUGUUUUAUAGUACAUAAUACAUUAAAUACAUACAUUUUA